UAAUCCUGCCAGUGCAUUCUUUUGUAGUGACUCAGUGAAAAUAAUAAAAUUAUGAUCAGUUGACUAUUUUUGACAAAUUUAUUUCUGUGAUUUAGGACCAGAAAACCAAGGGCCGCUGAGAAAGUAAAAAACAUCCUACCAUACCAAGAUAUUCUUUACUAAUAAGGUGAUCUUAAAAUAUCUGCUGAGAAAUACAGAGAUUUACAAGACUUGAAAAGAUUUUGCCAUAGUGAAGUGCAAGUGUAUUUUGAUCAUCUUUGGCAUUAACCCACCAUCGAAAAAGCACAGGACCUUUUAUAGAAGAUUAUUAAAUGAUUAUAUGAGAUAAUUUGUUGUAACAUGAAUUUGAAAUCUUGUAGUUACCUGCAAUAUGUUAUGAACUUGGCAUAAUUUUCCUCUGUAUGGCCUGCCUUCAUAAUAAAAAUGCAUCAUAUUAUUGUAAAUCCUAUUCAGAUGUGUAUAA
rnacentral:misc_RNA from 1 species